rnacentral:tRNA from 1 species
ACCCGUCUAACUCAGUCGGUAGAGUGAUGGCCUUUUAAGCCAGUGGUCGUGGGUUCGAUCCCCACGGGGGGUG